rnacentral:rRNA from 1 species
CUUGGGAGCGGCAUAACCCCUGGAAACUGGGGAUAAUUCCGGAUAACGCAUAUUUGCUGGAAUGCUUUAUGCGUCAAAAGGAUUCGUCUGCCCAAGGAUGGGUCUGCGGCCUAUCAGGUAGUAGUGGGUGUAAUGUACCUACUAGCCAGCGACGGGUACGGGUUGUGAGAGCAAGAGCCCGGAGAUGGAUUCUGAGACAUGAAUCCAGGCCCUACGGGGCGCAGCAGGCGCGAAAACUUUACAAUGCGGGAAACCGUGAUAAGGGGACACCGAGUGCCAGCAUCAUAUGCUGGCUGUCCGGAUGUGUAAAAUACAUCCGUUAGCAAGGGCCGGGCAAGACCGGUGCCAGCCGCCGCGGUAACACCGGCGGCCCGAGUGGUGAUCGUGAUUAUUGGGUCUAAAGGUUCCGUAGCCGGUUUGGUCAGUCCUCCGGGAAAUCUGAUAGCUCAACUAUUAGGCUUUCGGGGGAUACUGCCAGACUCGGAACCGGGAGAGGUAAGAGGUACUACAGGGGUAGGAGUGAAAUCUUGUAAUCCCUGUGGGACCACCUGUGGCGAAGGCGUCUUACCAGAACGGGUUCGACGGUGAGGGACGAAAGCUGGGGGCACGAACCGGAUUAGAUACCCGGGUAGUCCCAGCCGUAAACGAUGCUCGCUAGGUGUCAGGCAUGGCGCGACCGUGUCUGGUGCCGCAGGGAAGCCGUGAAGCGAGCCACCUGGGACGUCCGCCCGCAAG